AAAGUUUUGGUCCUGGGCUUACCGUUAUUUUUUAUUAAGAUUAUACAUGCAAGCUUCAGCAAACCAGUGAAAAUGCCCACUACCCCUAAAAAGACAUAUUGGAGCAGGCAUCAGGCACCUACUUAAACCCCCCCCCGAGCCCACGACGCCUUGCCACGCCACACCCCCACGGGUAAAUCAGCAGUAAUAAACAUUGAGCAAUAAGUGAAAACUUGACUCAACUAUAAUAACUUAAGGCCGGUCAAUUUCGUGCCAGCCACCGCGGUUAUACGAAAGGCCAAAAAUAAUGACAAACGGCGUAAAAUGUGACUAGAGACUCUUAAUAUUAAAAGUAUUUAAACCUAUAACCUAGUUGUAAAAUACUAAAGAAAUAGAGAAAACCAACAAAGACACUUUUAAUUUUAUCUUCUUGACCUCACGAAAGCUUAGAAACAAACUAGGAUUAGAUACCCUACUAUGCUAAGCCAUAAACAUUGAUUUAACCAUAAUACAACACUCUCCGCCAGAGAACUACAAGUGAAAAACUUGAAACUCAAAGGACUUGACGGUGUCCCAUAUCGACCUAGAGGAGCCUGUCCUAUAAUCGAUAACCCCCGUUCCACCCUACCCUAACUAGCAUAUCAGCUUAUAUACCGCCGUCGACAGCCUACCCCUUGAGGGUUAAACAGUAGACACAAUUGCUCAACCGUUAGUACGUCAGGUCAAGGUGUAGCACAUGUUAGGGAAGCGAUUGGCUACAUUUUUUAUUUUAAAAGAUACGAAAGGCACUAUGAAACAAUGCAUGAAGGUGAAUUUAGUAGUAAAGUAGAUAAGAGUACCUGCUUUAACAACGCUCUGGGACGCGUACACACCGCCCGUCACCCUCCUCAAAACAAACACUAUUUUUAUAUAAAUUAAAAUUUAAUUCAAGAGGAGGUAAGUCGUAACAUGGUAAGCGUACCGGAAGGUGUGCUUGGACUAAC
rnacentral:ncRNA from 1 species